rnacentral:lncRNA from 10 species
GACUAAUACACUGAGCCAAUUCUCUGUCCUAAGAAGUUUUGAACUGAUGCUGGGAUAUCAUUUUCUAGGGUAAAUAUGCUUCCCUAAUGGAAAACAUGGACCUCUUUAGAAUCAGAAAUCUCAUCUGUACCUGAACCUGAUUUCAACUCCCAAAUCCUGAAUUUGAAUUGACAAUCUAAAAUAACAAGGUUUUGAGAUCCUGGGAGGAAGCAGCCAGCUGUCAUGUCAUAAAAACUUUUAAGUGAUCCUAUGAAGAGACCCAAGGGGUGAGGAACUGAGACCUCAUGAUAACAUCCAGCAUGAAUUUAGCUGUGGGAGCCAGUCACAUUGGAAGUGGAUCUUGCAGCCCCAGGCAAGACUGGAGAUGACUGCAGCUUUUGUGAACAUCUUCACUGCAAUAUCAUUACAUACCCCGAGCCUGAGCCAGACAGUUGAGCCUUUCCCAGAUUCCUGACCCUCAGAAACUCUUAUUUUAAUAAAUUCUUAUUUUUCUACAUUGCUAAGUUGUAGGGUGAUUUGUAUAAAGCAGUAGGUAAUUGGCACAAUUAGACACUCAGUAGGCAUUUGGUCACAUAAAGUAUGCCUCAGAUAGUUUGCAAAUGCCUCUGGAGGUUUGCCAUUGUUCCUCCAACAUGGUAGGUUUUCUAUCAGGAUUUGCUGAUUGAUUGUGUUCUUCCUAAAAAAAAAUCUAGGGAAUUUUCAUGGGAAACUGAAUGGAUAGCUGUCAUUCUUUUCCUAUCCAUUUUCUCAGUUUUUCCCGAGGACGGAGUAGUUCAAGUUGAACUCUCAGCUCCACAUAUGGAUAUGCGGCACAGGUCUGG